rnacentral:rRNA from 1 species
UAGGGAAUCUUCGGCAAUGGACGAAAGUCUGACCGAGCAACGCCGCGUGAGUGGAGAAGGUUUUCGGAUCGUAAAACUCUGUUGUUAGAGAAGAACAAGGACGUUAGUAACUGAACGUCCCCUGACGGUAUCUAACCAGAAAGCCACGGCUAACUACGUGCCAGCAGCCGCGGUAAUACGUAGGUGGCAAGCGUUGUCCGGAUUUAUUGGGCGUAAAGCGAGCGCAGGCGGUUUCUUAAGUCUGAUGUGAAAGCCCCCGGCUCAACUGGGGAGGGUCAUUGGAAACUGGGAGACUUGAGUGCAGAAGAGGAGAGUGGAAUUCCAUGUGUAGCGGUGAAAUGCGUAGAUAUAUGGAGGAACACCAGUGGCGAAGGCGGCUCUCUGGUCUGUAACUGACGCUGAGGCUCGAAAGCGUGGGGAGCAAACAGG